rnacentral:rRNA from 1 species
UUCGGUCCCUAUCUGCCGUGGGCGCUGGAGAACUGAGGGGGGCUGCUCCUAGUACGAGAGGACCGGAGUGGACGCAUCACUGGUGUUCGGGUUGUCAUGCCAAUGGCACUGCCCGGUAGCUAAAUGCGGAAGAGAUAAGUGCUGAAAGCAUCUAAGCACGAAACUUGCCCCGAGAUGAGUUCUCCCUGAGACUUAGAGUCUCCUGAAGGAACGUUGAAGACGACGACGUUGAUAGGCCGGGUGUGUAAGCGCAGCGAUGCGUUGAGCUAACCGGUACUAAUGAACCGUGAGGCUUAACCUUACAACGCCGAAG